GAUCCCAGUUCCCCACCCAGGGAUUGAACCCAGGCCCUUGGUGAAAGUGCGGAGUCCCAGCCACUGGACCACAGGGAAUUUCCUAAAUUCUGUUUCUUGGUGAUACUCUGUCAUCUUUUUCUUUCUAGGGACUCUGUACAUUUUAGCAUUUGUUUGCUUCUGAUUCUUUCCUGUCAGUGGACUUAGAGUAUAAAUCUAAGACUGAUCAACUUGCCUGAGACCUUUCAAGCUUAAGAAGAGAUUCUAUAUUAAUUGUGCUGUUGAAGACACUGCCUUGUGUUCUGUUCUCACUGCUGUUUUCUGUUCGGCUUCUAUUUUCAGAUCAGAGAGUAGGUUAUGUAUAUUACUUGCAUUAAGCUUCUUUUCAUAUAAAUUAUUUUUUCAAGUCUCUAUACAUGAAGUGGGAGUGGGGCAGGGGCAGCGGCCAGUGCAUGCUCAGUUAUGCCCGACUCUUUGCGACCCCAUAGACUGUAGCGCUUCAGGCUCCUCUGUGCAUGGAAUUGUCCAGCCAAGGAUACUGCAAUGGUUGCUAUUUCCUACUCCAAGGAAUCUUCCCAACCCAAGAAUAGAACACGUGUCUCUUGCAUCUCCUGCAUUGGCAGGCAGGUUCUUUAUCAUUGGCACCACCUCUAUACAUCACUGUUAUUUCAAUUAUUCUUUGUUCUUCAGGCAUCUUUUUAAUCCUUCAAGUUACUUUUUAUGUUUUGUGUGUGUGUCUUUGAGUCAUGUCAUUAAUUUUGCUUUUCUGUUGUAUUCAAUUGUAAGACCCUUCCAAUAAAGACAUUGUUUUUGAUGUCUUCCUAAAAAGGAGCCUAAUGAGCUAUUUUAGAAAAGAGAAGCUUUUAUAAUUUCCAUGAAGAAAGGAAAUGCAUUUUAGAUGUUAUAUUCAAAUGAUAACUGUAUGCAACUGAUUGUUUUUAAGCCAAUUUGCGAACAUUUUUAGACUUGGAAAAUGCUUAUAAGUCCCGAAAGGUAUCACUUGCGAAAUAGCUGAUACUUUUGAAAUUUGGCCUUAGUUCUGGUAAAAGAAUGUGGUUGACAACCACACUGUAAUUUACAGUAAUCCUUUUUGUGUAAGGAAAUGAAUCUUCUUGGCUUAAUAAACUCCAGAUGAGUUUCUGGCUUCUUGAUUAUUACCAAGUCAUUUAAAAUUAAGGUUUCAUUAUUCAGUUUAGGUACAGCCACCUUCUCUGUGCAUGUAAUGGCUGAUGUGAUGUUAAAUCCUUUGUGCAACUAGAGCAUUUGGGGGAAAAUUACGUUUGGGUGGGUCAUUUUGGAGCACAAGUUUAUGAUGUGCCUUAAGGAGAUCAUGUGGAAGACCCAUAGGAAGUGCUGCUAGUGUCAUAAAACAGAAUUUUCUUGGAAGCUCACCUAAAUAUUUCUACUUUUUAUUAGUUACCUUUAUCUGUUCAGUUCAGUUGCUCAGUUGUGUCCAACUCUUUGCGACCCCACGAAUCGCAGCACGCCAGGCCUCCCUGUCCAUCACCAACUCCCUGAGUUCACUCAAACUCAUGUCCAUCGAGUCAGUGAUGCCAUCCAGCCAUCUCAUCCCCUGUCGUCCCCUUCUCGUCCUGCCUACAAUCCCUCCCAGCAUCAGAGUCUUUUCCAGUGAGUCAACUCUUCCCAUGAGGUGGCCAAAGUACUGGAGUUUCAGCUUUAGCAUCAUUCCUUCCAAAGAAAUCCCAGGGCUGAUCUCCUUCAGAAUGGACUGGUUGGAUCUCCUUGCAGUCCAAGGGACUCUCAAGAGUCUUCUCCAACACCACAGUUCAAAAGCA
rnacentral:lncRNA from 1 species